rnacentral:rRNA from 1 species
UACGGGGGGAGCAAGCGUUGUUCGGAUUUACUGGGCGUAAAGCGUGCGCAGGCGGUUUUGUAAGCCAGAUGUGAAAUCCCCGGGCUUAACCUGGGAAUGGCAUUUGGGACUGCAAGGCUUGAGUGCGGCAGAGGAGACUGGAAUUCCUGGUGUAGCAGUGAAAUGCGUAGAUAUCGGGAGGAACACCUGAGGCGAAGGCGGGCUACUGGGCCGAUACUGACGCUGAUGCGCGAAAGCCAGGGGAGCAAACGGG